rnacentral:rRNA from 1 species
UACGAAGGGGGCUAGCGUUGCUCGGAAUCACUGGGCGUAAAGGGUGCGUAGGCGGGUCUUUUAAGUCAGAGGUGAAAUCCUGGAGCUCAACUCCAGAACUGCCUUUGAUACUGAGGAUCUUGAGUUCGGGAGAGGUGAGUGGAACUGCGAGUGUAGAGGUGAAAAUUCGUAGAUAUUCGCAAGAACACCAGUGGCGAAGGCGCUCACUGGCCCGAUACUGACGCUGAGGCACGAAAGCGUGGGGAGCAAACAGG